CGCUAUCACUCCUACGGGGAGGCAGCAGUAAGGAAUAUUGGUCAAUGGAGGGAACUCUGAACCAGCCAUGCCGCGUGCAGGAAGACAGCCCUCUGGGUCGUAAACUGCUUUUAUUCGGGGAAUAAACCUUUCUACGUGUAGGAAGCUGAAUGUACCGAAGGAAUAAGGAUCGGCUAACUCCCGUGCCAGCAGCCGCGGUAAUACGGAGGAUCCAAGCGUUAUCCGGAUUUAUUGGGUUUAAAAGGGUGCGUAGGCGGCUUAUUAAGUCAGGGGUGAAAGACGGUGGCUCAACCAUCGCAGUGCCCUUGAUACUGAUGAGCUUGAAUACACUAGAGGUAGGCGGAAUGUGACAAGUAGCGGUGAAAUGCAUAGAUAUGUCACAGAACACCGAUUGCGAAGGCAGCUUACUAUGGUGUUAUUGACGCUGAGGCACGAAAGCGUGGGGAUCAAACAGGAUUAGAUACCCUGGUAG
rnacentral:rRNA from 1 species